UACGGGGGGGGCAAGCGUUGUUCGGAAUUACUGGGCGUAAAGGGCUCGUAGGCGGCCAACUAAGUCAUACGUGAAAUCCCCCGGCUUAACCGGGGAACUGCGUCUGAUACUGGAUGGCUUGAGUUCGGGAGAGGGAUGCGGAAUUCCAGGUGUAGCGGUGAAAUGCGUAGAGAUGUGGAGGAACACCAGUGGCGAAGGCGGCUCUCUGGUCUGUAACUGACGCUGAGGCGCGAAAGCGUGGGGAGCGAACAGG
rnacentral:rRNA from 1 species